CAGUAGCCACGGUAAUACGAAGGUCCCGAGCGUUGUUCGGAAUCACUGGGCGUAAAGGGAGCGUAGGCGGCGUGGUAAGUCAGAUGUGAAAUCCCGGGGCUCAACCCCGGAACUGCAUCCGAUACUGCCAUGCUAGAGGAUUGGAGAGGUAGCUGGAAUUCUUGGUGUAGCAGUGAAAUGCGUGGAGAUCAAGAGGAACACUCGUGGCGAAAGCGAGCUACUGGACAAUAACUGACGCUGAGGCUCGACGGCCAGGGUAGCGAAAGGGAUUAGAUACCCCUGUAGUCCCUGUCUCUUAUAC
rnacentral:rRNA from 1 species